rnacentral:rRNA from 1 species
GAUGAACGCUGGCGGCGUGCCUAAUACAUGCAAGUCGAGCGAACAGACGAGGAGCUUGCUCCUCUGACGUUAGCGGCGGACGGGAGAGUAACACGUGGAUAACCUACCUAUAAGACUGGGAUAACUUCGGGAAACCGGAGCUAAUACCGGAUAAUAUAUUGAACCGCAUGGUUCAAUAGUGAAAGACGGUUUUGCUGUCACUUAUAGAUGGAUCCGCGCCGCAUUAGCUAGUUGGUAAGGUAACGGCUUACCAAGGCAACGAUGCGUAGCCGACCUGAGAGGGUGAUCGGCCACACUGGAACUGAGACACGGUCCAGACUCCUACGGGAGGCAGCAGUAGGGAAUCUUCCGCAAAGGGCGAAAGCUUGACGGAGCAACGCCGCGUGAGUGAUGAAGGUCUUCGGAUCGUAAAACUCUGUUAUUAGGGAAGAACAAAUGUGUAAGUAACUAUGCACGUCUUGACGGUACCUAAUCAGAAAGCCACGGCUAACUACGUG